rnacentral:lncRNA from 1 species
CCUUCUAGGGGCCACUGUAUUCUGUCUAAGGGUCUCAGUCUGAAAAUGGACAGGGGUCAUAGUCGUUCCUCCAGGGCUCACAGACUGAUGACUCACAGGGGUCAGGGUCUUCUGUCCAGUGGUCACAGAUUGAUGACCCACAGGGGUCAGGGCCUUCUCUCCAGGGGUCAUGGACUGAUGACCCACAGAAGUCAUGGUCA